UGGCUCAGUGGUUAAGAGCUUGGCUGCUAACCAAAAGGUUGGUAGUUCAAAUCCACC
rnacentral:tRNA from 1 species